CGAAAACUUAAGGGUUUCUCUGCAAGGUUCGUCCACGAAAGGUGAGUCAGGGCCUAAGAUCAGGCCAAAAGGCAUAGUCAAUGGACAACAUGUGAAUAUUCUUGUACUAGGAGGCUAGAUUCAUCAAAAGAUGGUUAUCGGUUCAAAGACACUAGGUACCAUUGCUUCUUCAAGGUAAUAAUGGGUAGAGAAAGUGUCCCGAG
rfam:Gossypium raimondii Chr10_contig_38, whole genome shotgun sequence.